GCAUAUCAUAGCGGAGGAAAAAGAAACCACAGGGAUUGCCCUAGUAACGGCGAGUGAAGCGGCAACAGCUCAAAUUUGAAAUCUGGCCCUUGGGUCCGAAUUGUAAUUUGUAGAGGAUGUUUUUGGUGCGGUAUCUUCCGAGUUUCCUUGGAACAGGACGCCUUAGAGGGUGAGAGCCCCGUACGGUUGAAUGCCUAGCCUUUGUAAAACUCCUUCGACGAGUCGAGUAGUUUGGGAAUGCUGCUCUAAAUGGGAGGUAAAUUUCUUCUAAAGCUAAAUACUGGCCAGAGACCGAUAGCGCACAAGUAGAGUGAUCGAAAGAUGAAAAGCACUUUGAAAAGAGGGUUAAAUAGCACGUGAAAUUGUUGAAAGGGAAGGAUUUAUGACCAGACUUUUUCUAAGCGGAUCAUCCGGUGUUCUCACCGGUGCACUUCGUUUAGUUUAGGCCAGCAUCGAUUUUCGGUGGGGGAUAAAAGCUUUAGGAAUGUGGCUCCUCCGGGAGUGUUAUAGCCUAUUGUAUAAUACCCUACUGGGGAUCGAGGUACGCGCUUCUGCAAGGAUGCUGGCGUAAUGGUUAUCAAUCACCCGUCUUGAAACACGGACCAAGGAGUCGAACAUUUGUGCAAGUGUUUGGGUGUUAAACCCUCACGCGUAAUGAAAGUGAACGGAGGUGAGAGCCCUUACGGGUGCAUCAUCGACCGAUCCUGAUGUUUUCGGAUGGAUUUGAGUAAGAGCAUAACUGUUCGGACCCGAAAGAUGGUGAACUAUGCGUGGAUAGGGUGAAGCCAGAGGAAACUCUGGUGGAGGCUCGCAGCGGUUCUGACGUGCAAAUCGAUCGUCAAAUCUGCGCAUGGGGGCGAAAGACUAAUCGAACUCAUCUAGUAGCUGGUUACCGCGAA
rnacentral:rRNA from 1 species